rnacentral:rRNA from 1 species
CGGUGAGGGUCCACCUGUUCCCAUUCCGAACACAGAAGUUAAGCUCACCGGUGCCGAAGAUACUCGGAUGGAAGCGUCCCGGGAAAAUAGGGCGAUGCC